GGGCUUAGAAAGCAAUCGGAAGCUG
rnacentral:piRNA from 1 species